AAACACUGCCGUACCAUCCUUUACUGGAACCAUUUCGCCGCAUUUUCAGGUCCCUAUUUGAGAACCUCUGGAUAAGACGAGAACGCAGAAAUUUUCGUCAUCCAGUAAGCUAUAAUCACAUACUUAAAAUCCAAAAUUUCAAGUCUGUAGGUCAUUUAGUUCCGAAGUUAAGCGAAAGCAAAGUUUCGCAUUUAUGACACACACUCACUCACUUAUGAUCAUCAGAAUAGAACUAGUACUUCCCAUAAACUCAGAGAGCUGAAAUUUGGUACAGAGUUAGGGUUUAAUGGCCACAUAAAGGGAAAACUAUAAAAACUAGGAUAAUCGAAGAUCUGGAGUACCUGGUGACCCUGAUUAGAAAACACAA